CCCUCUGCUCCCCUAAAUUGGGAGGGCCACCGAGUGUCGGCCGGUGUGCCGGUUCACUUCGGGUCUAGCCAGCGAGGGGUGCACUGCGCAACAUCCCACCGCACGAACAACAUCAUGGCCGACCUCGCUGCCAGAGAUGUUGAGAGGGCUCAGUUCGCCUUCUCCAUCUACGACUUCGAAGGCAAGGAUGAGGUUGACGCCUACUACCUGGGCGACGUGCUGCGUGCGCUCAACCUCAACCCCACCCUGGCCAUGAUCGAGAAGCUGGGCGGACAGAAGAUCAAGAAGCAGAAGAAGCUGAAGCUGGACGAGUUCCUGCCCAUCUUCUCGCAGGUCAAGAAGGACAAGGACCAGGGUGGCUACGAAGACUUCAUGGAGUGCCUGAAGCUGUACGACAAGGCGGAGAACGGCACCAUGAUGGCGGCUGAGCUGUCGCACGUGCUGCUCUCUCUCGGUGAGCGGCUGACGGAAAAGGAGGUCAACGACAUCAUGGCCGAGUGCUGCGACGAAGAGGAUGAGGACGGCUUUAUUCCUUACGAGCCCUUCGUCAAAAAGCUGAUAGCCGGCCCCUUCCCGGAUGCGAAGUAAAUUCGCAAACUUCGACAUUCAAGCUCAGAGGUAGCUGCCCUAUUGCUGACCGAUUUACCACCCCAGCCACCCGGUUCCCGCAUGUAGAUUGCACCGUGUAGAUCGUACCUUCACGCACCAAUACCCCCAUUGGAACAGCUACAGUUUGCCUCCGACGCACGUCACCUGAGCUGCCCCAACCCCGGAGCACUUCGGGGACUUAGCGCGGGCUCUUCCACCCCGCUUUGAACCACUCACCCUUGACAUUUCACCCAAGCGACCUCUGAAUGACGGCGCUUUUCAGACCCUAUUGACCCCUGCAACCCUCUCUGACCAGCAACCACGGGUCUCAUGACAUACUUUUGAGCGUGCUCCUGCUCUCUGUAACAGCCUUGUCCAAUCGGUGGCUCUGUUACAGCCUUUGUAAAACGGCUACUGGCCGGCCCCAACCCCGAGAAGAAGUAAGCGCGUCGGCGCAGUUCCUCCGCAGGUAAACGAACCAACAUCUCGACCCAUCUUUCACUGGGAGGUGGCCUCCCGGCCGCCGAGUCACCUGGCGGCCUCGCUCAGCAGCUGUGUGCAGUCUGCGCGUGGUGAGCGCGGCGCGCGCGAGCCGGCGCCGCCGCCGCCGACCGCCGCCGCCGCCCCCUCGGCCCGGGCGGCAGCGACGCGGCCGACACAGUGGCGGCGCCGGCCACCUUCACUUCCAGGGAAUUUUUUUUUUAUAAGCUCCGCCAGCUCGAACCCAUACAUAUGUAUAUUUCACUCGUGAUGUGUGCGUGUGAAUAUUGGUGCGUGUCGCGCGCCGCUGUGCGUGUGCGUGUGGCGUGCCGCGUCCGGAGCCCUCUCGCCAGGGCGGACUGAGUGCGAUCUAGUCAGCUCCCGCUGCAGAGAGCGCCCCGACGUAAGUCGGUGUUGACGCUCUGGCGCGGGAGUGUGCGCGCCCGCUCCGCUGCCUGGUGCCGACCGGCCGGCGUGGCGGAGCGCUCGUCUGUCCGUCUGUCCGUGGUCGUCUGUCCGUGGUCCGUGUCGGUCCGUUGUCCGUUGUGCCCGAGUCCUUUCCGUUAACUUGACAUCACAGAAGAGUCAGCAUCAUCAGUCAGUACCAUCCGGCAAAUCUGUUUUAUCAAGUUUCGGAACAAUAUGUAAAUAAAUUUGUAAAUUAAA